GAAAUGCGAUAAGUAAUGUGAAUUGCAGAAUUCAGUGAAUCAUGGAAUCUUUGAACGCACAUUGCGCCCGCCAGUAUUCUGGCGGGCAUGCCUGUUCGAGCGUCAUUUCAACCAUCAAGCCCCCGGCUUGUGUUGGGGACCUGCGGCUGCCCGCAGGCCCUGAAAAACAGUGGCGGGCUCGCUGUCACACCGAGCGUAGUAGCAUACAUUCUCGCUCAGGGCGUGCUGCGGGUUCCGGCCGUUAAACGACCUUCAUAACCCAAGGUUGACCUCGGAUCAGGUAGGAAGACCCGCUGAACUUAAGC
rnacentral:misc_RNA from 1 species